UUGGUUACAAAGGACAAACUAAACCCUAUGAUUCUCCUUUUUCGAUCUCUUUCUCUUUCGAUGGACGUGUUGUGAGCAAAUUGACGAUUCACGAGUCGUAUUCUUACCGAUCAGAGCUAAGUUGAUAUUUCUAACUACACCAAAUCUCACACCUUAAAUUACAUUCUCAGGACGAAAGUGAUCGAAUGGUUUUGAAAGGAGGAAAAACAGCCAAUUCUGCUUCGAAAAAGAAGAGGGAUGAGUUGGACAAAAUAAGCAACUUACCCAGUGGUGUUACACAACAAAUCUUGUCAUUUUUGCCCAUCAGGGAGGCAGUGAGGACAAGUAUUUUAUCAAGCAACUGGAGGCACAAAUGGGCUAUGGUUCGGCAUCUUGUGUUCGAUGAUCAAUGUGUUUCGGAUAUGAUGAGAGGUGGUAUAAAGAGGACGAAAACAUUUGAGAAUAUUGUUGAUCAUGUUCUCUUACUUCAUUCUGGUUCCAUAGACACUUGCAAGCUUUCCAGUCGAAUUUAUCUUAUUGAAAGCAGUAGUAUAGAUAUAUAGAUGGGUUCUUCAUCUAUUAAGAAACUCUAAUUCUAUCAAAGAGUUCGUACUGAAACAAGAAGGGAAUAUGUACAAGAUCUCUUCAUGUUUGUUUCUCUAUCCAGAUUUGACUCACUUAGAGCUAUACAAUUGUUUGCUAAAACCCCCUGUGACGUUCAACGGCUUCCCGAGACUGAAGAGCCUCGAAAUUCAAAAUGUUACUGUGGCGCAAGGUGUGUUGGAAAAGGUGAUCAUUUGCUGUCCUCUACUUGAGAGAUUGACUCUAUGUGACUUAAGGAGUAUCACCCAUCUCAACAUUGACGCACCAAAUCUUCAAUUCCUUAAUGUUGGAGGUGGUUUUCAGAGUUUUAAACUUAAGAACACCCCAAAUCUUGUUGGUAUGGAAGUAACAGGCUUCCGUGGUGUGUAGGCCGAAGUAGACUUCCUCAGAGUUCAGCUAUUAAGCUCCCCUCUUCAAGAACUAGAAAUUUCAUUUGGACCGGAGAAGAACAUGAUGAGGUUAGAUGACAACCGGAACUGCACAUCCACACAACUGCGAGUUUUGAAAAUAACUGGCUUUUGUGGUAGUGCCAAAAUGAAAUAAAUUUCAUCCAAUUUCUGCUUUCAAGUUCACCUGUCCUUGAGGAGGAUGACUCUUCAACCUACUUCCGCCAUUGUUUCUUUGGAACUACCAAAAAUAUUGGAAGGUUUUAGGCAUGUUAAGAAAAAUUUCAUGGACCCGUUAAGUCAUUACCCUCCAGGCUAGAGGUAGGUUCCUCCUCUUCUGAUGAGGAUUGAAUGCUACUUGCUAGGAGAGGGAAAGUUAAGGGUUUUGAUGGGCUUUUGCGGGUGGCAUGGUUCCAAAUGAAGGUAGUUUUUGAGAAAAUAUCCUACAAGCUCAUAGUGUUCAUUGUUCUGUAAUGUAACAAUAUGCGGUGAUAUGUCAAAUUAGUAAUGUUUCAU